GACGAACGCUGGCGGCGUGCUUAACACAUGCAAGUCGAACGGAAAGGCCCUGCUUUUGUGGGGUGCUCGAGUGGCGAACGGGUGAGUAACACGUGAGUAACCUGCCCUUGACUUUGGGAUAACUUCAGGAAACUGGGGCUAAUACCGGAUAGGAGCUCCUGCUGCAUGGUGGGGGUUGGAAAGUUUCGGCGGUUGGGGAUGGACUCGCGGCUUAUCAGCUUGUUGGUGGGGUAGUGGCUUACCAAGGCUUUGACGGGUAGCCGGCCUGAGAGGGUGACCGGCCACAUUGGGACUACGAUACGGCCCAGACUGCUACGGGAGGCAGCAGUGGGGAAUAUUGCACAGUGGGCGGAAGCCUGAUGCAGCAGCGCCGCGUGCGGGAUGACGGCCUUCGGGUUGUAAACCGCUUUCGCCUGUGACGAAGCGUGAGUGACGGUAAUGGGUAAAGAAGCACCGGCUAACUACGUG
rnacentral:rRNA from 1 species